AAAUAUUAUAUCAUCCGUCGCCAUAAUUUACAAUUCUAUGACACGGCUAAUUCUUUUUCUUUUCUUUUUUGGCAAACACACGACUAAUUCAUACGUUUAUAUAAAUUCAAGUAAAAAGAAGAAACUUACGGUUUCGUACAAGAAGUGCUAGUGCGGCGGAGAACGUUGACCCAUUUGGUGAAGGGGUUGGUGUUGCGGCGGCUGAGGAUAUGGUUGGUGACAUGGCUACUCCUAGCUUCAUAACUAUCAUCGGAAGUUUCGUACCUCAACU